rnacentral:rRNA from 1 species
GACGAACGCUGGCGGCGUGCCUAAUACAUGCAAGUCGAACGCAGUGGGGACGGGUGAGUAAAACGUGGGUAACCUACCAUCAGAGGGGAUAACACUUGGAAACAGGUGCUAAACCGAUAUUGAAGGAUGGACACGCGGGGCAUUAGCUAGUUGGUGAGGUAACGGCUCACCAAGGCCACGAUGCGUAGCCGAUCUGAGAGGGUGAUCGGCCACACUGGGACUGAGACACGGCCCAGACUCCGACGGGAGGCAGCAGUAGGGAAUCUUCGGCAAUGGACGAAAGUCUGACCGAGCAACGCCGCGUGAGUGAAGAAGGUUUUCGGAUCGUAAAGCUCUGUUGUUAGAGAAGCGGUAUCUAACCAGUAAGCCCCGGCUAACUACGUGCCAGCAGCCGCGGUAAUUC